GAUGAACGCUAGCGGGAGGCCUAACACAUGCAAGCCGAGCGGUAGAGUCUCUUCGGAGACUUGAGAGCGGCGCACGGGUGCGGAACACGUGUGCAACCUGCCUUUAUCUGGGGGAUAGCCUUUCGAAAGGAAGAUUAAUACCCCAUAAUAUACUGGAUGGCAUCAUCUGGUAUUGAAAACUCCGGUGGAUAGAGAUGGGCACGCGCAAGAUUAGAUAGUUGGUGAGGUAACGGCUCACCAAGUCAGCGAUCUUUAGGGGGCCUGAGAGGGUGAUCCCCCACACUGGUACUGAGACACGGACCAGACUCCUACGGGAGGCAGCAGUGAGGAAUAUUGGACAAUGGGUGAGAGCCUGAUCCAGCCAGCCCGCGUGAAGGACGACGGCCCUAUGGGUUGUAAACUUCUUUUGUAUAGGGAUAAACCUAGAUACGUGUAUCUAGCUGAAGGUACUAUACAAAUAAGCACCGGCUAACUCCGUG
rnacentral:rRNA from 1 species